GGAAAAUUCAGUCACAACUAAGAAUCUUGCUUGCCGGAAAAUGCGAAGAUGACAUCGGGGGAGGAGAACUCAGACCACCCACAGUCAAAAAUAUAGGAAAUUCAGAGGAGAGUCGAGGAAGAGCAAUUUGGGCCAUGGAUGAUAGUUGAAAGGAAGUAGAGAAGGAAGUCACAAGUGACGGAGAGUCGGGGGAUAAGUG
rnacentral:lncRNA from 1 species